AGUUCUUCAUUCACGCAUCAACAAUCAAAAGGGAGGAAGUUGGUCUGGUGGCUACCGAGCUUCGAAGAGACUUUCAGUAAAUCCCCACAGAACUCGAAAAGCAACACAGCAGCCACCCAACAGUUUGAACAUAUCCAAGGUUAAGCGCAAGAGUAAGAGCUAGUCAAGGAGUUACUGAACUGAAGCAAAGCUUUGCUAUCAGGUUGAGAAUGGCAGAUGGAGAUGAAGUGAGGAGCAGAGCUUUUGUCAUAGGUUGAAUAAAUAAACUCUUGGAUACAUGUCUCCAUACAUGUAAUCAGAUUGUUAUUUCCG